UCCGGUUUGACACCGGCAGUCUCUCAUGAGUCCCCGACAUUACUCGCUGGCAACAUAAGAUAGGGGUUGCGCUCGUUGCGGGACUUAACCCAACACCUCACGGCACGAGCUGACGACAACCAUGCACCACCUGUGUACGGCCCCGAAGGACACCAUAUCUCUAUGGCUUUUCCGUACAUUUCAAGCCUUGGUAAGGUGGGGAUGACGUUUCUAGGAGGGUG
rnacentral:misc_RNA from 1 species